UCAUCCUAUCUGGGCCCGUCCUCUCCUCAGGUGUCCCACCCCAGAGCUUGCCAUAUAGUAGGAGACAUGCAAAUACCGUCCUCCCUCUGCUGAUGAAAACCAGCCCAGCCCUGACCCUGCAGCUCUAGGAGAGGAGCCCCAGCCCUGAGAUUUCCAGGUGUUUCCUUUUGGUGAUCAGCAUUGAACACAGACCACCCCCAUGGAGUUUGGGCUGAGCUGGGUUUUCCUUGUUGCUAUUUUAAAAGGUGUCCAGUGUGAGGUGCAGCUGGUGGAGUCUGGGGGAGGCUUGGUACAGCCUGGGGGGUCCCUGAGACUCUCCUGUGCAGCCUCCGGAUUCACCUCAGGUAACUCUGACUUGAUCUGGAUCCGCCAGGCUCCAGGGAAGGGUCUGGAGUGGGUCUCAUACAUUAGUAGUGGUGGUAGUACAUACUACUCAGACUCUGUCAAGGGCCGAUUCACCAUCUCCAGAGAGAACGCCAAGAACACGCUGUAUCUGCAAAUGAGCAGCCUGAGAGUGGAGGACACGGCUGUGUAUUACUGUGUGAGAGACACAGUGAGGGGAGGUCAGUGUGAGCCCAGACACAAACCUCCCUGCAGGAACGCUGGGGAGAAAUCAGCUGCAGGGGGCGCUCAGGAGCCACUGA